rnacentral:misc_RNA from 1 species
UCUCCGUUGGUGAACCAGCGGAGGGAUCAUUACUGAGUUUACAACUCCCAACCCAUGUGAACAUACCUUUUGUUGCUUCGGCGGGAUGCCCCCGGCGCCUAGUGUGCCCGGGAAUCAGGCCCCCGCCGGAGGACCCAAACUCUUGUUUUUCUAUAGAGCUUCUGAGUGGAUUAUUUUAAUAAUUAAAACUUUCAACAACGGAUCUCUUGGUUCUG